CGGUGCAGCGGCGAGCGAACGAGGAAAGCACACACUCCGUUUGGCGACGAGGUUCAUACUACCAAUGAGAGCGACGCUGUAGCCUCUGCAAAGCAUGGCUGCGCUUUCUCGCCCCUUGCUUUUUUUCAAAAGAGGUUGAUGCUGAUUGCAGCAGCUGCCAACACAUGAAUCUCCAUGGCAACAAUAACGGUUGCCGGGCAACCGCGCUCUUUUAGGGACACUGAAAGAAGCCCAAAGGCUUGCUAAAAAUAUAUACGUGGGUAUGGUGCUUCUUGAACGCCACGGCUGAAUGCUGAGAGGGGGGGAGCUCACAACCAUUAAAUGCUUCAGACCAUACAGGAGAUGUUUUCCUGCUUUCAGCUGCAGUGUGAUGUUAUUUUACUCUGAGCUCCACAUGGUAGCCACAAACACUGAAUUCUUCCGUGGCAUUAACGCGGACACCAAUGACUGAGGCCUGGAUGUUUUUCUAAGGUUACGUAGCUCAUUAGAAGCCUGGCACUCAAUGACAGGGAUUUAUAUAUAUAUAUAUAUAUAUAUAUAUAUAUGUAUAUAUAUAUAUAUAUAUGCCAUCUUGGCUCCUGCAUCCAACUCCUUGCUGCAGCGUGUGCACACGCAGGUGGCAUGCACGAGGAACAAAGCAUUCAUCAGCACCAGUGACAUCACCGCAGUCAGCUCAGCUGUUUCUGCCCACUGCUAUAAAUAGUGCGGUGGAAACAGCAGAUUGCCUAUGCAGAAAAGAUUUAACUCCUGACCUGAAGCCAGGAGAGAUUUGUUUUUCUCUUUUUUUUGCAGAGAGUUAACUUAAUCUGCUCCAGUACAACAACUGUGAAACACUGGUGUUUGUGAAUGGUUUUAAAAGAAUUUGCACUGUACAUUAUGAAACUAACAUUGUCUCACCUCUGUAGCUUAAACAGGAAUUGUGGUAACUUUAAAAAGUGACAUUGUGUUCUCAUGUUAACCUUGACAUUUUAAUAGAUUUUGUAGACUAAGAAUAAAUGUUAGAUGUAUAUGUAGUAUGUUAUUUUCAGGACCUCACAAAGAGUUUUAAAGGGGCAACUGCUCAAAACUACAAAACCACCAUAUAAAAUAAAAUGAAACAGGAUAAGCAACUAUAUCCAAACUUGUUUCACAUUUUGUCACAUUACAACCCUAAUCUGUGUUUUAUUGGAAUUUUAUGUGAUACAUCAUAUUUUUGUACAACCUUUGCAUAUCUAAAGAUUUUCUUUGCAAAUUAGUUAAAAUUCAGAUUUGGUGGAUAUUGUUUGUGAACAGCAGUUUUCAAGUCUUGACACAUAUUCUCAUUUGGAUUUAGAUUCGUACUUUGACUGGGCCAUUCGAACAGAUGAAUAUGCUUUGGGCUAAACCAUUUUAUUACAGCUCUAAACGUUUGUCCUAAAAUAUGGUGAACCACCAAUCCAGUCUCAGGUCUUUUGCAACCUCUGACAGGCCUUCUUUCAGGAUUGUCCUGUAUUUAGCACCAUGAAUUUCCCCAUAAACAUUGCCCAUUUUUCCUGUCUCUGCUAUAGUGAAGCAUCCAUGAUGCUGUUUCAUUUGACCAGAGCUCCUUCUUCCAGAUGCUCACUGUGUCCCCUACAUGGCUUGUGAUAAACUUUAAAAGGGAGUAUUCCUGGCUUCUGUCAACACUUUUCUUCUUAUUUCCACUCAUCGAUAAGGGCCAGGUUUGUGGAGUGCACCUCUAACAGUCCUGUCAACACACUCUCCCACCUAAGCUGUAGCUCCCAGCUUCUUCGCAGUUACCAUCAGCUGCUUCUCUGAUUUAUGUAUUCUUGCCCAUUCCAUCUGUUUAGGUGGACAGCAAUGUCUUGGUAGAUUUGCAGCUACCAUACCAUACCAUACCAUUUUCUUUUGUAGAUGAUGGAUUGAACAUUGCUCGUUGAGAUCUUCAUAGCUUGAGAUUUUAGUUCAUAACCUAACCCUGCUUUAAAUUUCUCCACAACUUUGUACUUGCCUGUUCUGCCAUUUUCCUUUGUUUUCACGAUGCUGUUUGUUCACUAAUGAUCUCUAACAGAUGUCUGAGGCCUUCACAGAAGGCAAUCUAUUUGCUAAUGAUAUAAUGUCUCAAGGCAACUGGUUGCACAAAAUUUAUUUAAGGGGUAUUAGAGUAACGAGGUUUGAAUGCAUAUGCAUAUUUUUAACAGGACAGAAUGUAAAAGAGUUCAUAGGCCGUGUAUGUUUGCAUUCAGAUUGCUUGGGGAGUUGUGUGAGAUGUCUGAAACACAUAUAGGGUGUUUAAGAAGUCUGCUGUUUCUCUGCUAUUUAAUGAUGAUUUCAUUUUAAAGCUUGUUCUUAUCUUUCAUUUCAAUAAACACAUGUUUCAUUA